UGUGCGAAGAAGGCCUUCGGGUUGUAAAGCACUUUUGUCAGGGAAGAAAUCCUUUGGGCUAAUACCCUAGGGGGAUGACGGUACCUGAAGAAUAAGCACCGGCUAACUACGUGCCAGCAGCCGCGGUAAUACGUAGGGUGCAAGCGUUAAUCGGAAUUACUGGGCGUAAAGCGUGCGCAGGCGGUUGUGUAAGACAGGUGUGAGAUCCCCGGGCUUAACCUGGGAAUUGCAUUUGUGACUGCACGACUAGAGUGUGUCAGAGGGGGGUGGAAUUCCACGUGUAGCAGUGAAAUGCGUAGAUAUGUGGAGGAACACCAAUGGCGAAGGUAGCCCCCUGGGAUAACACUGACGCUCAUGCACGAAAGCGUGGGGAGCAAACAGGAUUAGAUACCCUGGUAGUCCACGCCCUAAACGA
rnacentral:rRNA from 1 species